GUCGGGAAUCUUGGUCAAUGGGGGAAACCCUGAACCAGCAACGCCGCGUGAGGGAUGAAGGCCCUCGGGCCGUAAACCUCUGUCGGGAGGGAAGAAAGUAUUCCGGGCCAAUACCCCGGGAUACUGACGGUACCUCCAAAGGAAGCGCCGGCUAACUCCGUGCCAGCAGCCGCGGUAAUACGGAGGGCGCAAGCGUUAUUCGGAAUCAUUGGGCGUAAAGCGCGUGUAGGCGGCUGGGCAAGUCGGAUGUGAAAGCCCGGGGCUCAACCCCGGAAUUGCACUCGAAACUGCCCAGCUAGAGUCUCGGAGAGGAGGGCGGAAUUCCCGGUGUAGAGGUGAAAUUCGUAGAUAUCGGGAGGAACACCAGUGGCGAAGGCGGCCCUCUGGACGAUGACUGACGCUGAGACGCGAAAGCGUGGGGAGCAAACAGG
rnacentral:rRNA from 1 species